rnacentral:rRNA from 1 species
GGGCUACACACGUGCUACAAUGGCGCAUACAAAGAGAAGCGACCUCGCGAGAGCAAGCGGACCUCAUAAAGUGCGUCGUAGUCCGGACUGGAGUCUGCAACUCGACUCCACGAAGUCGGAAUCGCUAGUAAUCGUGGAUCAGAAUGCCACGGUGAAUACGUUCCCGGGCCUUGUACACACCGCCCGUCACACCAUGGGAGUGGGUUGCAAAAGAAGUAGGUAGCUUAACCUUCGGGAGGGCGCUUACCACUUUGUGAUUCAUGACUGGGGUGAAGUCGUAACAAGGUAACCGUAGGGGAACCUGCGGUUGGAUCACCUCCUUACCUGAA